GUCAGCGUUGUAAAGUGUUUACAUAUUUGUUUUUCCUUCAUGGAGCCCCGACGACACUGUGCUGGUAUCUCGAGGUGAGCCUUGCCUGGUGGUGGUGGUGAUGAUGGUGAUGGUGCGAGAGUUGCAGUGGCUUCGGGAAUAGGAAGUAUGAUAUUGUGAGGCAUUUGAAUGGAAGGACAAGACACAUAAAGAAAGAAAGAAAUAAAGAAAGAAAGAUGAAAAGAGAAUUUGCUGCGCCUCAUCAAAGUCUUCCCGAGAGCAGCGCUGUUGCCUCUUAGUCUUCUCCUGUUGGCACUUCCUGGAAAACGCCGAGUAGGAUUUCCAGAAGCGAGAAGAGCACGAGGCGAUACUUGCUGUAGCAGGAUGCUAAAGAUGUAGUGAACCCUGAAACAACAGAAGCAAGACAUGUCAAUCUUUGCGGAAGGUAUGGUGGUUCUGGGAAGAGCAGAAGUGAAAAAAAAAAAAAAAUUAGAAUGAAAAAAAGAAAUGAAAUACAAUGAAUUAAGUGAAGGAAAACUUGAAUACAGUACAAAAUGACUAACAGUGAAGUGAACUGGAAAUGAAACGGACAGACAUAGAAACAGAUAGAAAGAAAGAAAAAGAAGAAAAGGGGAGCACUGAUGACCGCUAUCCAGCAAGCACCUGCCUCCCUACCUGCCUCCCUGCUCCUCCA